CUAAGGUAAGCCGCUUUACUAUCAUUGACAGCUGUCGCACACCUGUUAUUCCACCAAGGUACUGCAAUAUGUUUGUGCCUCUUUGAAGUAUUUGCACCGCUAUUUGAUAAGUUCCUACGUGGAACGGAACGUUCCACAGCUGUCAAAAUAAUUUUACAGAAUCUAUUGUAAUUGUUUAAGGGUUCUUUGACAUCAUACUCGAAAUCCAAAAGUAAUUGAUUAACAGUUUCAGAAUAAAGAUCCCAAUUAACGAGACAUGCUGCAACGCUCAGAAUUCUUACAGAAUUUAGCUAAAUGUCCAUACCUCAAGCACCGGUAGCAUUGUUUAACUGGUGGUAUAUAUGGAGUGACAUUGUGGCGCCAACCUCCAAUAUCCAGAUAUUCAGGUAAUACAGAUGCAGCAAAAGUAAUUGUCACGGUUAGAGUUGGCUGUAACACAUAUCCAUGAGUCAAGAUUCUGAGUCAGUAGAAGUAUCUUCCGAAUAUAUAUCCUUGUCAUUACAAGGUUCAUGGUCUACAUCACCUGAAUCGUCAUCUUUUUUUUUCCUUUUUAUACAACUGCGCUUCCCCAUGAAUGCUAAUUAUAUUACUGUCGCUGAAUUUAGUGAAAAUAUAAUAUUUUAUUCAAUAAUAAGAAUUGAUAGAGAUAGUUUUAAUAAAUUAAUAAAAAAAAUUUAAAAAACCCGCUUGUUCUUAUUCGAGUUUCCCGCCUUUUCUCAUGUUAUCAUUUAUCAGUUAUGUCGUUCGCUGUCAUUGUCAGGUAGCUGACAUCCGAAAUAUAUGCCUGAUACUUAUAACCUGCGUUUUUAAUACAUUUGUCACGUGAGACAGGCAAAUGUCCCUCAUUUUUACAAUACUAUACAACUGAUUAUUAAGAUCUUAGCUAGUAGAAUCUAUGUUAGAACUUAUGUUCUACACUAAAUCUAUGAGUAGAUCUAGUUUGUUCCGUUAUGGAACAGGUUAAGGUCGGAGACUAUGCUGCCUAGUCUUCAGUAUAUUUUGUCUGGAAUGUAGAAUAGUGUUUUGUAUUAUAUAUAUGUUUAUUUUUAAAGAAUAAAGAUGGCAAUUAAGUAUGUGUUUGUUUGAUAUAUUUUUUUUUAUCAUAUCGUAGGCAUCUAAUCGUAAAACUUAUUUGUUUCUGAAAAUAUAGCUGUUUAAGUUUCAUUCCUUAUAGUUGUGUCCGUUUUUAUAAUUAGCACGGACACGUGAACGAGCAAACAUUGUUCUUUUUACACACACAAUAUUUUAGGUACAUAAUGAAGCCUAUUUGUCAUUUUGUUAUAUCUUUAUUUGUCAUUUUGUUAUAUGUUUUUUUUGUCUUUUAUCCUUCCCAUUUCCUAUAUGUUUUAACUACUUUAACAAUCCAAAAUUCCAAUACGGGCUCUGUUCUUGAAUUUUUGGUUUUUGGUUGUUCAAUUGGUCUUUAUUGGAAAAGAAUAUAGCCUAGUAUAAUUAUGCAAAUCGGGCGUCAAUAAAAUAAGCGGUUGAGGUAAUCAGGGAUUAUUCAGGUAGUUUGGUAUAAUAAAGUUCAAUAAUACUACAAGAAUUUGAAUAUACAGAACAAAAUAUUGAAUCAGUUUUCUGCGGUUAAAAUGUAUCUUGAAGUAUUUUUUAAUAAAUAAAAUUUACGCAUUAAAAAGAUGCAGAAUUUAUAAGACAAUAAAUAUAGAAGUUAUAAAGGAAUCACUCAUAACUAUUUAUUACGCAAAAUUGUACAUAAAAGUUAACUCGUUUUUCUCGAAGCAUGGAUUUAUUUUGAUUCU